rnacentral:rRNA from 1 species
AUUGAACGCUGGCGGCAGGCUUAACACAUGCAAGUCGAGCGGUAACAUUUCUAGCUUGCUAGAAGAUGACGAGCGGCGGACGGGUGAGUAAUACUUAGGAAUCUACCUAGUAGUGGGGGAUAGCUCGGGGAAACUCGAAUUAAUACCGCAUACGACCUAUGGGAGAAAGGGGGCAACUUGUUGCUCUCGCUAUUAGAUGAGCCUAAGUCGGAUUAGCUAGAUGGUGGGGUAAAGGCCUACCAUGGCGACGAUCUGUAGCUGGUCUGAGAGGAUGAUCAGCCACACCGGGACUGAGACACGGCCCGGACUCCUACGGGAGGCAGCAGUGGGGAAUAUUGGACAAUGGGGGAAACCCUGAUCCAGCCAUGCCGCGUGUGUGAAGAAGGCCUUUUGGUUGUAAAGCACUUUAAGCAGUGAAGAAGACUCUUCGGUUAAUACCCGGAGACGAUGACAUUAGCUGCAGAAUAAGCACCGGCUAACUCUGUGCCAGCAGCCGCGGUAAUACAGAGGGUGCAAGCGUUAAUCGGAAUUACUGGGCGUAAAGCGAGCGUAGGUGGCUUGAUAAGUCAGAUGUGGAAUCCCCGGGCUUAACCUGGGAACUGCAUCUGAUACUGUUAGGCUAGAGUAGGUGAGAGGAAGGUAGAAUUCCAGGUGUAGCGGUGAAAUGCGUAGAGAUCUGGAGGAAUACCGAUGGCGAAGGCAGCCUUCUGGCAUCAUACUGACACUGAGGCUCGAAAGCGUGGGUAGCAAACAGG